rnacentral:rRNA from 1 species
CUACGGGAGGCAGCAGGCGAGAAAACUUUGCAAUGUGCGAAAGCACGACAAGGUUAAUCCGAGUGGUUUCUGCUAAAGGAACCUUUUGUUAGUCCUAGAAACACUGAUGAAUAAGGGGUGGGCAAGUUCUGGUGUCAGCCGCCGCGGUAAAACCAGCACCUCAAGUGGUCAGGAUGAUUAUUGGGCCUAAAGCAUCCGUAGCCGGCUUUGUAAGUUUUCGGUUAAAUCCAUACGCUCAACGUAUGGGCUGCCGGGAAUACUGCAAAGCUAGGGAGUGGGAGAGGUAGACGGUACUCGGUAGGAAGGGGUAAAAUCCUUUGAUCUAUUGAUGACCACCUGUGGCGAAGGCGGUCUACCAGAACACGUCCGACGGUGAGGGAUGAAAGCUGGGGGAGCAAACCGGAUUAGAUACCCCGGUAGUC